rnacentral:rRNA from 1 species
GAUGAACGCUAGCGGCAGGCCUAACACAUGCAAGUCGAGGGGUAACUAGAGUGAUAGCAAUAUUACUUUGGCUAGACCGGCGCACGGGUGCGUAACACGUAUGCAACCUACCUUAUACUGGGGAAUAACUUCGAGAAAUCGGCGCUAAUACCCCAUAACAUUGCGAAGAGGCAUCUCUUUGCAAUUAAAGCUCCGGCGGUAUAAGAUGGGCAUGCGUCCAAUUAGCUAGUUGGUGAGGUAACGGCUCACCAAGGCUACGAUUGGUAGGGGUUCUAAGAGGAUGAUCCCCCACACUGGUACUGAGACACGGACCAGACACCUACGGGAGGCAGCAGUGAGGAAUAUUGCGCAAUGGACGAAAGUCUGACGCAGCCAUGCCGCGUGCAGGAUGACGGCCCUAUGGGUUGUAAACUGCUUUUGUACGGGAAUAAACCCUUCUACGUGUAGGAGGCUGAAGGUACCGUAAGAAUAAGCACCGGCUAACUCCGUGCCAGCAGCCGCCGUAA